CCUACGGGCGGCAGCAGUGGGGAAUAUUGGACAAUGGGGGCAACCCUGAUCCAGCCAUGCCGCGUGUGUGAAGAAGGCCCUCGGGUUGUAAAGCACUUUCAGUGAGGAAGAACGCCUGGUGGUUAAUACCCAUCAGGAAAGACAUCACUCACAGAAGAAGCACCGGCUAACUCCGUGCCAACAGCCGCGGUAAUACGGAGGGUGCGAGCGUUAAUCGGAAUUACUGGGCGUAAAGCGCGCGUAGGUGGCUUGAUAAGCCGGUUGUGAAAGCCCCGGGCUCAACCUGGGAACGGCAUCCGGAACUGUCAAGCUAGAGUGCAGGAGAGGAAGGUAGAAUUCCCGGUGUAGCGGUGAAAUGCGUAGAGAUCGGGAGGAAUACCAGUGGCGAAGGCGGCCUUCUGGACUGACACUGACACUGAGGUGCGAAAGCGUGGGUAGCAAACAGGAUUAGAUACCCUGGUAGUC
rnacentral:rRNA from 1 species